AUUUUUUGUGAUUUUCCUAUGAUUUUAAGUAUAUUAAAAAUGCAUGGAAUGCAACUAAAUAAAGAAAUAUUCCUAAAAAUUAAUUAAUAUUAUUUUUGAUCUAUUUUAGGAGUUAUCUUCAUGUAGGGCAAAAAUCACGUGCUCACAGCUGCCUCUCUUUUCUCGGAGACACGAAGGGUUUUCGGGCAAAGAUAAAAUGAGAAAUUACGAGGGAUUUUUUCCCAUUUAAAAAUCCAUGAGAAGCAUUUUUGAAAGAUCUAACCGAACCUUGCUUCAGAGGUUGCCUGCAUAUCUUUGGCUAUAAAGGAAUCAAGUCAGUGUAGUUCUGGAUGUUUUGGUAGCUGGGACUACCGGAAAGCUGUAACUUCACUGUUGUUGCUACUACUACUUCUUGCUGAACUCCUUAUUACACCAAAAUGGAAAAAAUAAAAAGCUAAGCUAGCUAAGCCUAUCAGCUACGAGUUACAAGAUUCCUAUCUAUAAAUCUCUUGAACCUUGAUCUUGUGUCUUAGUUGGUUCUUCAUGUGGACCCUGAUCUGAAUCUUGAUGCUUGUUAGCCAUAGGUGUUGGUUCAAUCUUCUUCAGCUUUUCGAACCAAGACGGGACAUGCAGAGCUUGUGACCUCAGCCCUGUCUUGAGCAGCUCACAUCUUUCAUUAACUUCUGUUGAUCAUCUCGGACUGCUGACUCGCAUUCUUGACGCGAGCUUCUUUUGUUGCUGACCUGUAUUGCAUUCUGAAUUGAAUUCUCUUAUUUUCCAGGCGGGCGCCUGAUUGCUGAACUUGAACCGUCUUCUCUUGUUACUUGACACUAUUUUCCCUUGCACGUUGAACCAUUUUCCCUUGAAACUUGAACUGUCUUCCUUCGAAACUGCUUUCCCUUGAAACUCGAGUUAUCUUCCUUCGAAACUACUUUCCCUUGAAACUUGAGUUGUCUUCCCUUGUUCUCCAGGAGGGCGCCUGAUUACAACAAAACAGACAAAACAAAAGAAAUUUUUUCUGCCCUAGUUUGCACUAGAAAGAUUUGUGAGUUGUUAGCAAAAUUGUAAACCACUUGUACUAUUGAUGCAAUGAUGAGAGUAACUAACGAAUAGACUAGGAAAACUAUAAACUAAGCAUGACUAAAGUAAAGACUGACCCUAUUAUCCAGGCGGGGCCCCUGAUUUCAAGAAAACUAGACACUGUUAACUAAUAAUUGACCGCUCUUUUUUCAAAUUCAGACUUCCCCCUUCUUCUUUUUUUAAAUUAUUAUCCUAGGAGAAAAUUUAUCAGACUAGAUUUUCUAUCUUAGGAGAAGUAUUCAUCAGACUAAGACGUUAAUCCUAGGAGAAAAUUCAUCAGACUGGGUCCUUUUUCUCUUUUUUUCGUUUUUUUUUUGUUUUUUGUUUUGCUUUUUUUUGGUAUAUUAGGAGAAAGAUUCAUCCGACUAAGAUUUCUACCCUAGGAGAAAGUUCAUCAGAUUAGGUCUUCUAUCUUAGGAGAAAAAUUCANNNNNNNNNNNNNNNNNNNNNNNNNNNNNNNNNNNNNNNNNNNNNNNNNNNNNNNNNNNNNNNNNNNNNNNNNNNNNNNNNNNNNNNNNNNNNNNNNNNNNNNNNNNNNNNNNNNNNNNNNNNNNNNNNNNNNNNNNNNNNAAUAAGUAUUAACAAAAAUGCCCCUGUCGGAAGGACAGAAGGAAGAGUUUUUUUUUUUGUUUUUUUUCUCUUUUUUCUUUUUUUUGAAUAACUAGCCUUAAUGGUCAUGACAUGCAUUUUGGACUUAGUUGACGAUCUAUCAAACUAAUUCACUCUUCCCUUUUACUCUUAUUAUGACCUUUGAAGUCGGGCUUGUUUAUGCCAAUUCUUCGCACCAGCUUUAUGACUCACUUUCAACUAGUGGUGCCCCGAGGAGUUUUCACCAACAAGUCUCACUCAUUUAUUCAUCUCUGCUUACCGUCGCCUUACAGUGCCCGUGAGGGUUUUCACUAGUAAGACUCUCUCAUUUCUUCUCUAUUUUUCUUUUUCUUUUGCUUUCUUGCGUGAGCAUCCUGACAGUGUUCUAUGUCGCGUGACAACCGUUGCUCAUUGCAUGCUUCUCUUGGCAUUUCCUAAAGGCAUAUCAGCAGAUCUUUAUUUGGAAGGAUUUUGGAUAGGGUUUGAAGGAAAGAAAGAAAGCUCAAAAUAGACUCAAAAUAAAGGGGUUGUGGACUUACAACUCUUGGAAUCGACUCUUUCACAAGUGAAAUAAAAUCUUUGCCCCAGUUUCAGCUAUUGAGGAUUUUUUGGUAUAUUUUUUGAAUUGUUAUUUGGUUGGACCGAACCGUGAGGCUGCCUACGUAUCCUUUUUUAAGGAAUCAGGUCUAACGUAGUUCAAACAUCUGACCUAAACUAUUUUUUCAUCUUUCUUUCUGUUUCUCUUUUUCUUUUUUCUCCUUUUUUUUCCUUUUCUUUUUUCUUUUUUUUUGUUUGCCCCUGCUUCUAUUUUUGAGGGCAUGGACCUUUGACAAUUCUUUUUUUUUUUCCUGAACUUUCUAAGAAAUGCCCCAGUUUGUACUCUUGGGACAUAGAUUUUUUUUCUUUUUCUUUUUUUUUUUGACUCUAAACUUUAUUCCAAAAGAGAGUAGUCAAAGAAAAUAACACAGGCUCAAAAGGGGUAGCGAAGGAUAUAAAGUGUUUGGGUAGCAGAAAAAGGGCCUCCCAACCUCGAGAAUGUCAAACAUGGUACCUUUUCGCGAUCACAUCAUUGACGAACAAGUCUGUCUUCUUGGUGUGCCGUGGUCACAAGACAUUUUUUCAUCCUUUAAUAACAAACUUUCAAACAAAAUUCAAUUGAUUAAAAAUCCUCAAACCCGAUCUUCACAAUGAUUUAAAGGUGAAUUUUACUCGACCUUAGUUCCAAAGUAUUCCAACUCAAAAGUAUUUUUUUAGUUAUCGAAUUCCAGAUUAAAUCAGUUCCUAAGAUCUAGCCAAAUUUUUCCGCAUGCAUCUCAUGUCAUUAGAACUAGAGAGAAAAGAACUAGGAACAAAAUGACACAAAAGGACAAACUGUAUUUUAUUGAGUAAAGGAUGAAAGGGUUUUACAACUAAACAAGCAACCUAAAAUACGAGUUACAACCCUAAAAUAACUCGAAUAAUGAAACAAAUAGAAUGGAGUGAUAGAAGGGUUUGACUCAAUAAAACAAAUAGAAUCUGGAUCAAAACCCUGAAAUAACCGAGAUAAUAUAAAAAACAUCAAAACAAGCUACCAAGAUUCCUUUCUAGUGAGGAGGGAAUGACUUUUCAAUUGCUAGGCUUGGCAUUUAGCCACAAAUUUGCUCAUCAGAAUCAGCAGAGCCUUCUCCAAUUUCAACAUCAUUAACUUCAGUUAGCAAGUUCCCGAGAGGAUUCUCAUACUCCAUGUCACCAGGCAUCAUCCCCACAAAGUGUGCAUCAUAAUGUGCAGGUAAAGGAUUCUGCACGAUAUUCUGGGUGUCACUAUCUUGGAUCACAAUCAGGUUUUCCUGGAUAUCCUUUCUACUUCUCUUUUCAAAUCCCGACAGCUUUCAAAAUUGUGCCCUUGGGCAUUGGAAUGGUAUUUACACCUUUGAGAAGGGUCAAAGCUUCUUGCACGUGGGUUUACAUGAUUUGGAGGAAUAGGUGCAAACAUGUCAUAAUGCUUUAAUUUCUCAAACAAGCUUGCAUAGGACUCUCCUAUUGGUGAAAAAUUAUCUUUCAUCCUUUGUUCCCCUUUAUACCUCUGGCUUGGAUGUGGGUUAUAGGGCACCUGAAAAUUUUGUGGAGGCUGUUGGAGAUUUCGUGAUGCCCGUGCUCGCCUUCUGGGGUGUUUUGGUGGCUGACAACAUACUGAGGUGGAGCGACAGAGUACUGAGGGUUCUGAGGUGGAUAAUAUUACUCAGGGGAGUCAUGGAAAACUUGAGGAGGCUACUCAUACCUUCGAGAUGUUCUUCUGGGACCUCUUCUCGACCCUGAUGUCAUCAUGAUUUCUUCAACCUUCUCAUUUGUGUUGCUAAAAUUAUCAGAUUCAACCUGGACAGCCUGAGUUGUGGCUGUAAAAACUGCUUGACUUAUAAUUUUGCCUGUCUUAAGACCAUUCUCUACCAUUUCUCCCAUUUUGAUUGCUUCCCAGAAGGAUUUUCCAACUACGGACAUCAUGUUUUGAAAGUAAUCUGUCUCUUACGCUUGAAGGAAGACAUUGAUUAGCUCGUGGUUAUCCAUGGGUGUCUUAACUCGAGCUGCUUGCUCUCUCCAUUUAAUGGCUUAUUCCCUGAAACUUUCACUUGGUUUCUUCUUCAGGUUUGAAAGGGAAAUACGGUCUGGGGCAACGUCGAUGUUGUAUUGGAACUGUUUGACAAAGGCCUGUGCCAUGUCAUCCCAGACAUACCAGCGAGAUGUGUCUUGAUCCAUAAACGAUUCGGAGGCUACUCCCGUAAGGCUUUCUCCAAAAUAAGCUAUCAACAAUUCUUCAUUUCUUCUCGCACCUCUCAGUUGAUUGCAAUACCUUUUCAGGUGGGCUAUGGGAUCUCCAUGUCCAUCAUACUUUUCAAAUUUGGGAGUCUUGAAACCAGGCAGUAAGUGGACAUCGGGGAACAUACAUAAAUCUUUGAAGGCAACACUCUUUUGACCUGCCAACCCUUGCAUAUUUUUCAACCGUUGUUCUAAGCUUUUCACCCAUGCCAGAACUGUCACACCUCCUUUUUACACACCGAAAGGGGAUAUAAGGAGUUUUUCCAAUUAAAGUGACAAAACCAAAACGGGAUUAUUUAUUCAAAUUCAGAGUCGCCACUUGGGAUAAUUUAUGGAGUCCUAAGUCACCGGUUUAAAAUCCCGAAUCGAGGAAGUUGACUCUUAUUUAUGGUCUGCGAACAUAAAAAAUCAGGUAAGGAAUUCUGUUAACCCGGGAGAAGGUGUUAGGCUCUCCCGAGUUCUGUGGUUUUAGCACGGUCGCUCAACUAUUAUUAUUGGCCUAUUUUAUCUGAUUUUAAAACACUUUUAAACCUAUGUGCAUUUUUAACUUAUUAAACCGCUUUUAAUCAUUUUUAGGAAGAUUCAACGUUAUUUAAAAUAUGCCUUGAACCACGCCACAUGAAAUGCACUCGCGGUCCACAACACAUUUUAUUUAACGUUGUUGAGAAUGGGUCACAUGAAAUGCACACCCGAGUUUAAAGAAAUUAAUUUAAAUAGCGCGCCUAAAACAACUACGCACUUUCAAGUUUGAGAGAGCCAUGGAAAAUUCAACUAAUGGCGCACCUCGAUUUAUAAAGAAUUAAUUGUCCGAAGGCCAUGGGCUUAGGGGUUUUAUUUGGCAUGGCACGCAUCAAAUUAUUUUAUAAAAAGCUAGCUAAUUCACAAGUUGAUUCAUGUAAAGGGCGAAAUGGAGCAACUAAUCAAUUGAUGGUACUUUUCGAUAAUAUGCUGAUGACAACAAGCAGCUGCUAUGUUUCAUAUGACAUACACCACAAACAUGAAAUAAUAUGGGCACGAAUUGCUAUACAAAAUAUGAACUAGAGAAUAGCAACGUAUGGCUCUUGAACAAACUUGAUGAAGCAGAAGAAGCUAAUUAAUUAUUCAAGGUGGUUUCUUGUUUUGCAUUUUACAAGUAUUGAAGCAGAGGAAUCACACAUAUAAGAAGGAAAAUGAUAUCAUCUAUGUAUGUGCUUCCAAAUAAUGAGGCAAGUAGGUUGUAAGCUAUUUCAACCACAAAAUGAUGCUUUCAAAUACAAACAAACCUGCAAUGAUCAAUCAGUACCCUCCUGAGUUGCUUUUGUUUAUCAUCUUCCUGAACUUUCAUACUUAGGCAAGUUCAAUAAUUUUUCAACAAAUAGUCAGGUUAUUGACUACCCAUGUUUUGUUUUUCUACUUUCUUCUUCGGCUAAAAGGAUAUUCAAGACUUCACCCAUGAGUUUAUUUCACACUUCUGGGGCUUAAAUGAAAAAAAUAUUAUUCAAGAAGAUAAGUACCCCAAAUUGAGAGUAGCAAGCAACCAACCCAGCAUGUUUGCCUUAAUUCGCUCAAUCCACUUAUUUCUUAAGUCAAAAAAAUUUAAAAUAAAUAACAAAUAGAUUAUUUAAUUUAGAAUACACAAAUAAAAAAAAUAAUUGAGCAAUCAAAGUCAUGAUAUCCAAUACCAAACCAAUACAUCACAGAAUAAAUAUGAUUCUGUAUUAGCAUAGACAAUAUCUCAUGUUUGUGUUGAAACUAAAAUGAAAAAAGAAUCAACAAAUCCGUACAGUGAACCAAAGGAAAACAUCAUAGAGCAAUUCUACCAUAUAUACACAAACAAUUUCAGCAAAUUUAUAGCACAUGGAUAUCCAAACAACCAUUACAUUUCGAGAUUGAGAUAAAUACCUCAAGCUGUGAGAAUAAAAGAGGAAAAAGUCGAAACCCAACAAAAGCAGAUUCAACAAACCGCAGCCUUAAACUCUGAUUUUGAAAUAAACUCGAAAACCUAGAAAUCAAAGGGAUAACACCAUGGAAAUCAGCACAGCCUUCUGAAACUCGCUAUUCUCCGAUUUUUCAUCUUCUUUUUUUUUGAAAUCUUUUUUAUUAUUUUCAGCUUUCCAAACUUUUGAAACUUCGAAUUUUCUUCUUGAUUUUGUUUGUUGCUGAUUGCUUGUGUGUGUGUGUCGAUAAAAUCAAAAAAAACAGAGGGGAAUGGUGUGUUCUUUGUGUGUGGUGUUUGGGAAAAUAAAGAAGAAGCCAGAGAGCUGGAGUGUGCGCCGCUUUUCUCUGAAAGAGGUCUCAGGAUCUCC
rnacentral:lncRNA from 1 species